GUGGGGAAUAUUCCGCAAUGGACGAAAGUCUGACGGAGCAACGCCGCGUGAGUGAUGAAGGUUUUCGGACUGUAAAGCUCUGUUGUUUAGGACGAAAGUGCCUGUUGCAAAUAGUUACAGGUAUUGACGGUACUGAACGAGGAAGCCACGGCUAACUACGUGCCAGCAGCCGCGGUAAUACGUAGGUGGCAAGCGUUGUUCGGAAUUAUUGGGCGUAAAGAGCAUGUAGGCGGGAAUCUAAGUCUGUUGUGAAAAUGCGGGGCUCAACCCCGUAUUGCGAUGGAAACUGGGUUUCUUGAGUGCAGGAGAGGAAAGGGGAAUUCCCAGUGUAGCGGUGAAAUGCGUAGAUAUUGGGAGGAACACCAGUGGCGAAGGCGCCUUUCUGGACUGUGUCUGACGCUGAGAUGCGAAAGCCAGGGUAGCGAACGGGAUUAGAAACCCGGGUAGUCC
rnacentral:rRNA from 1 species